rnacentral:rRNA from 1 species
CCUACGGGUGGCUGCAGUGAGGAAUAUUGGUCAAUGGACGAGAGUCUGAACCAGCCAAGUCGCGUGAAGGAUGACUGCCCUAUGGGUUGUAAACUUCUUUUAUAUGGGAAUAAAACAGGGUAUGCAUACCCUCAUGCAUGUACCAUAUGAAUAAGGAUCGGCUCACUCCGUGCCAGCAGCCGCGGUAAUACGGAGGAUCCGAGCGUUAUCCGGAUUUAUUGGGUUUAAAGGGAGCGUAGGUGGAUUUGUAAGUCCGUUGGGAAAGUCUGCGGCUCAACCGGAGAAUUGCAGUUGAAACUGGCAGUCUUGAGUGCAGGAGAGGUAGGCGGAAUUCGUGGUGUAGCGGUGAAAUGCGUAGAUAUCACGAAGAACUCCGAUUGCGAAGGCAGCUUGCUGGACUGCAACUGACGCUGAUGCUCGAAAGUGUGGGGAUCAAACAGGAUUAGAUACCCCUGUAGUC